UCUGGGCGUAGUGGUGCACGCCUGUAGUCCUAGCUACUCGGGAAGCUGAGGUGGGAGAAUUGCUUGAGCCCAGGAGGUCGAGGCUGUAGUGAGCCGUGAUUGUGCCACUGCACCCCAGCCUGGGCAACAGAGCAGGACCCUGUCUCAG
ensembl:misc_RNA Metazoa_SRP Metazoan signal recognition particle RNA